CACUACUAAUCCGGCGUGGAGCCACUCUUCUCCCCAAUUCUCGCCUAUUUUCCCUCCACUAAAAAUGCGGCGUCCUCACGUUGUAGGUCAGUUGCAAAAUUUCCAUCCAUCCACUACUAAUCCGGCGUGGAGCCACUCUUCUCCCCAAUUCUCGCCACGGCCCAGAUCGGAGGCAUCCGAUCCACCCUCCCCAGAAACAGCCCCGCCCUCCUCAUCUACAGGAUCAUAGCCGCCGACCUCACUUGAGAAUCCGCCACGCCCCAGGCAAAUCGAACGCCGCUGCCUUCUCACCGCGGGAUCGGAGGCGCUUGCCUCAUCCAUGACGUCCUCCUCGAUGCCCCGAGUGUUCUCCGUCCACACCCAGGCGAACACAGCCGCCUGCACUCGUGAGAAUGCCGCCGCCCAUACCAGCUCGCACACGACCACCUGCACCCGUGAGAACGCCACCGCCCGCACCCGCGCGAAUGCUGCCACACUCAUCAAGCAGCACAUGGAUGAUAAAACGUGGCAGAUUUAUUGAAGUCAUUAGAGUUUUACUUUGCAUUUGUUUGUGCUGCUUUUCCUGCUUGCUAGAAUGAUAUUCAUAUACUCAUGUUGAGAAGAUUCUGAAAGAGGAAAACUGAACACUCCACUCUGCAGUAUGUGAGGAACAGUUAUCCCGUAAGCCACCCAAAGUGACUCAACAAAAUUUGGAAGCUCUUGUCAACAAAUGGUUGGAUGAAAGAAACCAGGUUUGUAUCAAAAUAGGCCACCGACAAUACCUAUGAAUAUUAAGUUGCACACAACUUUAUUUUAGUUUGUUACUACUUUUUUUACAUUCCCUACGAUAUUAAUCUUUAUGUUCAUUGGUAGUAAAAGGAGGUAGUAGAUAGAUCUUUUAUGGUUCAUAAAAUGUUCAUUUUUUUGUUGACCAGUCAAUUUAAUCUACUGCAACCUCUUUGCUUCAAGUAUUCUCCAUGUUUAAAGCUUGUGCAUGCUGACGACCUAGCAGGUAGCAACCUGCUUUUAGUCCAUACAUGUUUAAAGUUUGGGUUCAUAGGUCCAUUUUGUAGAUUACUAGUAAGUUUAGGCGCGGCGGCACGCCGCGCCCGUGUUGCUAAUUUUCUAGCAGAAGUAGAAGAAUUGCACAUUUGAGACGAAGGAUCUCAAGUGGUGUCAGUGCAGAAAAUAGAAAAUAGGACGUUUUGAAGAAGAAAGAUUGAAAGUUGAAGCCCUGAGGGUAAAAUGGUGUCGAACGUUAGAAGGGGUCAAUCCUGGGUGUAAUUUGGUGGCUUCUCCUUAUGUUGCUAGCUAAGAAGAUGCUUGUUUGGUUGCAUUUUUUGAGGGGGCCAGCCAGUUUGAAGAGAUUGCUGAGAAGUAUUAGUUUCUAAUGCAGUAGUGUUAGUAUAGGUGUAACUUAGAUAACCUUUGCUGUGACGUCGAGAAGCUUGUUGGAGUGAUGUGGUCUUCGAGGACCUCUUCUGUUUGAAGGGAUCUUCGGAUCGCCAUGGAGCUUCAUCGGCGGCGCACCGUCGACGAAAACGAAGAGCAUUUAAGGAUUUUGUUGUAAUUUUUUUAAGGUGUUUUGUACUGUUUAAUGUUUUCUUUUAAUCCCAGAUCUUUUUGCAAAAAAAAAAAUAAGAGCUGUUGUACUGUUUGCAGUAGGCUAGAUCCUCACGGAGUUUGUACGUGUAAUUAUCUUUUCUGAUCCGUACUGAACUUCAAAUGAAAUGCAUCUGGAUGUAGUAUUAAGUGCUGUCUGAAUUGAUCUACACGCUUUUCAGUCUAGAUAGUUGACGGAUACAAUUUUUAGUUGAACCUGGCAUAUCCAAUAGUUUUUUUUUCUUAAUUAUUAUGUUUUCAUGCAGUGCUCGGCUGUGUCUUUUUUUCCUGCUUGAAGCUACAGUAACUGAAAUAACAAAACGAAUAGAGAGGAGGCUCGUUCCUUCUAGUAAAGUGGUAAACUGACCAGUAGCUUAUAGAGAGAAAAAUAAGAGCAAUAGAUCUGCUGGAGCUCGAGAUCAAGCAUGGCGGAAGGAGAAUCGCUGGCGCCUACUUCCUAUUCUUUUCCCCACAAGAUGUCGAUCCGGCGUAGAGCUGGUGCCUGGGACUAUGGCGCCGGCGUGCGUAGGCUGUAGCUGGCGGCCACGCUUGGAGGUGGCUUGUUCACUACCAUCGACGACGGCGGGGGAGAAAGAAGCAGAGCCGGUGGGGAGGGUGGGGAUCCGAAGCGCUCCGCUGACAUCGCGGUGCCGGUGGUGGCGGGUGUCUUGGGGAGGCGCUCUGUUGUUGCAGCGCUCGUUCGAAUCGGAUCUCCAAGGAAUGGAUGGAGGGCCUGGUACGCUACUUCUUGCUGGUAUACUGUAAAGCGUUUUCGUGUUCCAUUCCUCUCUGUAGGUGAAAUGAAUUAUUGAAAGAAGAGAAGAUAAACUUUUUUGCUGUUGUGUCAAGAAUUUGACUGUUCUAUGUUGAUGUUUACUUGUACCAACCAAUUCCAUAUAUUUAGUUAAUGUACAGGUGAUGAAGGAA